CGCAGCCGCGGUAAUUCCAGCUCCAAUAGCGUAUAUUAAAGUUGUUGCAGUUAAAAGCUCGUAGUUGAAUUUCGGGAUCAAUUUAUUGGUCGUACCUUUGGUACGGUACUGAUUUUAUUGGUUUCUCCCUUCUGACGAACCAUGAUGUCAUUAAUUUGGUGUCAUGGGAAAUCAGGACUGUUACUUUGAAAAAAUUAGAGUGUUUAAAGCAGGCUCACGCUUGAAUACAUUAGCAUGGAAUAAUGAAAUAGGACGUUUAAUUCUAUUUUGUUGGUUUCUAGGAUUGACGUAAUGAUUAAUAGGGAUAGUUGGGGGCAUUAGUAUUCAAUUGUCAGAGGUGAAAUUCUUGGAUUUAUUGAAGACUAACUACUGCGAAAGCAUUUGCCAAGGAUGUUUUCAUUAAUCAAGAACGAAAGUUAGGGGAUCGAAGACGAUCAGAUACCGUCGUAGUCUUAACCAUAAACUAUGCCGACUAGGGAUCGGAUGAUGUUGAUUUUUUAAUGACUCAUUCGGCGCCUUU
rnacentral:rRNA from 1 species